AGAGUCAUAGUUACUCCUGCCAUUUGAGAGCACUGGGCAGAAAUCACACAGUCAACACCCACCACAGGGUUUCAUGAUGUUUUGUUUUAAUUAAACAGUCAGAUUCUCCUGGUCUGCACCAGUUCUAAGUCAGCUGCUAGGUGCUAGCUGAGGAGGGACGCUGGCCCCAG